ACUCUAAACAAUGGAUGUCUUGGCUCCUCACACGAUGAAGAACGUUGCAUAAUGUGAUAAGUAACUGGAGUUGCAAACAUUGUGACAAGUUAAUCUUUGAAUGCAAAUUGCGCGGCUUAUCUUCGGAUAAGCGCAUAUCUACACUAGUGCCCUU
rnacentral:rRNA from 1 species